UACGGAGGGUGCAAGCGUUGUCCGGAUUUAUUGGGUUUAAAGGGUGCGUAGGCGGCCCGUUAAGUCAGUGGUGAAAGCCUCCAGCUCAACUGGAGAACUGCCAUUGAUACUGGCGGGCUUGAGUACAGACGAGGUAGGCGGAAUUGAUUGUGUAGCGGUGAAAUGCGUUGAUAUCGAUAGGAACUCCGGUGGCGAAGGCGGCAUACUGGAUCACUUCUGACGCUGAGGCGCGAAAGCCAGGGGAGCAAACGGG
rnacentral:rRNA from 1 species